AGUGAACGCUGGCGGUAUGCCUAACACAUGCAAGUCGAACGGCAGCACAGUAAGAGCUUGCUCUUACGGGUGGCGAGUGGCGGACGGGUGAGGAAUACAUCGGAAUCUACUUUUUCGUGGGGGAUAACGUAGGGAAACUUACGCUAAUACCGCAUACGACCUACGUGUGAAAGCAGGGGAUCUUCGGACCUUGCGCGAUUGAAUGAGCCGAUGUCGGAUUAGCUAGUUGGCGGGGUAAAGGCCCACCAAGGCGACGAUCCGUAGCUGGUCUGAGAGGAUGGUCAGCCAGACUGGAAGUGAGAAAGGGUCCAGACUCCUACGGUGGGAAGCAGUGGGGAAUAUUGGGCAAUGGGCGAAAGCCUGAUCCAGCAAUACCGCGUGAGUGAAGAAGGCCUUCGGGUUGGAGAGCCCUUUUGUUGGGAAAGAAAAGCAGCAGGUUAAUACCCCGCUGUAAUGACGGUACCCAAAGAAUAAGCACCGGCUAACUUCGUG
rnacentral:rRNA from 1 species